rnacentral:rRNA from 1 species
UACGUAGGGUGCGAGCGUUGUCCGGAUUCACUGGGCGUAAAGGGUGCGUAGGCGGUCGGGUAAGUCUGAUGUGAAAUCUCACAGCUUAACUGUGAAACUGCAUUGGAUACUAUCCGGCUCGAGGAAUGGAGGGGAGACUGGAAUACGUGGUGUAGCAGUGAAAUGCGUAGAUAUCAAGUGGAACACCAGUGGCGAAGGCGAGUCUCUGGACAUUUCCUGACGCUGAGGCACGAAAGCCAGGGGAGCAAACGGG